rfam:Anopheles epiroticus strain epiroticus2 unplaced genomic scaffold supercont1.112, whole genome shotgun sequence.
AAAUCGGCUCUUUUUAGAGUCAAACACAGAAAAAAAACAACUAUC